rnacentral:lncRNA from 1 species
CCAUAUUGUCCUUCUACGUUUAGUGGGAAGUGAGUUGUACCGAAGAAGACCUCUUCUAGAAGAAGCGGAAAACCAAGGAACUGUAUAUCAAUACAUCAUGCUAUAUGCAAUCACCUGCUAAAAUUAACGUCAAAAAUCAGAACGAUCAGCCGGCUAUAGCUAGUGGCCGGAACCCUUGGGGCUGGGCCCGGCCGGCAGCCUCGCCAAGAGCAUAUCCACCGUGUCC